rnacentral:rRNA from 1 species
AUUGAACGCUGGCGGCAUGCCUUACACAUGCAAGUCGAACGGCAGCACGGGGCAACCUGGUGGCGAGUGGCGAACGGGUGAGUAAUGCAUCGGAACGUACCUUUCAGUGGGGGAUAACGUAGCGAAAGUUACGCUAAUACCGCAUAUUCUGUGAGCAGGAAAGCAGGGGAUCGCAAGACCUUGCGCUGAUUGAGCGGCCGACGUCAGAUUAGCUAGUUGGUGAGGUAAAGGCUCACCAAGGCGACGAUCUGUAGCGGGUCUGAGAGGAUGAUCCGCCACACUGGAACUGAGAAACGGUCCAGACUCCUACGGGAGGCAGCAGUGGGGAAUUUUGGACAAUGGGGGCAACCCUGAUCCAGCCAUGCCGCGUGAGUGAAGAAGGCCUUCGGGUUGUAAAGCUCUUUCGGCCGGGAAGAAAUCGCACGGGCUAAUACCCUGUGUGGAUGACGGUACCGGAAUAAGAAGCACCGGCUAACUACGUGCCAGCCGCCGCAGUAAAAC